CAAUGGUGCGUUGGGCUGAGCGUACCACCCUCUGUAGAGCCUUGCAGUCAGCGGUGGUGGAGUUGCCUUACCAGGCCGUGAUUUAGCCUGACAGUAUGCUCUCUGGUGCUCCUGUAGAACACUGUGAGGGCCCUCGGGGAUGUGUGUCACAUCAGGACCGAAUUCUAAUGGUUCCCUGUUUCUCCCUGGGACUCCUGACUGAACACACACACGCACGCACACACACACAGCUUUGUAAUGAGUUGUAUUGUCCUCAUGGAGAGGCCUCUAACUGACCUGGUGAUGGUGUUUGUCUGGUUUAAUAUGAGAAGGAGAUGGAGGUGAUGGAAAGAGCGAGGGAGAGAGGAAGGGAGAGAGAGAGAGAGGGACAGACUGCCUCACCACUGCAGUGGCUGAUUUUGUUGUUGCUUACCCCCCCACCUCUGCUGCAUUGUGCACUGCCUCUGAGAAAAACAGCAAACCAUUUCAGACACAGACAGCGCACCCCAUACACACACUCAGGAAUAUUCACACCGGCUCAGGUGAGAAGGUGUACUCUUUUUUUUUUUUUGCAUUAGUACAUCACACACCACACAUGCAUGUAAACGCACACAUACACCUCUCUCUCUUACCUACUACUGGCUUUUCUCACGCUUCUCUCGCGCUCUUCAUCCCUCCUUCCCUUGGCUGCGUGUUAGAGUUGUUAUUGAGCUGCGAACCGUCCUGUUGCAUUAGUACUGUGUGUGUGUGUGUGUGUGUGUCAGCCCUGUCUGUCCGCGAUGAGCAUUAACACAUUAACUCAUGGCCUCUUGCUGAGAGUGACCUGGAUAAAAACACACACGCACACAACCGGCAGCAGCUCCAGCAGAGCGAGAUUGGACUGCGUGGCUGGGAGGGGCAGACUUUGUUGUAGCCCCAGACAUAAAACAACUGAUGCCUGUGUGUGCAGUUAAUGCUGUUCCCCCUCCCCCCCAAAAAAAUUAUUGAAAAGUCCUGGAAAAUAAUGACUUGAAAAGAGUGGAAGUCUCUGUCUAACCGGCGCCAUAACACAGAGGCCCGUCUCGCUCUCUCUCCAGUAUCUAACCCUCCUCCUCUCUCUCUCUCUCUCUCUCUCUCUCUCUCUCUCUCUCUCUCUCUCUCUCUCUCUCUGUCUCUCUGUCUCUCUGUCUCUCUGUCUCUCUGUCUCUCUGUCUCUCUGUCUCUCUGUCUCUCUGUCUGUCUGUCUCUCUGUGUGUGUGUUUCAGAAGGUGGAAGAUGAGGACAGGGACAGCCAGGUGAGGAGAUCGCGUCCUCCUGAGCCUCUGGUUUCUCCUAACAGUAAACUGUCCGACAGCGAUGCAGCAACCAAGGCUAAAGCCCAGGCUACUCUGAUGUUCAACCGCCUGUUCCCCCACAUUAAGGAAGAGCCUGGCCAUCCCGCCACGGUCCAUCCCAGGUACAUUUGUUUUCCUAUUUCGAUAUAUUUUAGCCCACAAUGGAGGCUAAUCUUCCAAGAGUCCUGGGGACUGGCUAGCUCCGGUCUUCCUCCUGGGAAGACCUGGCCCUUGAGAAUCCAUUCCAAGUAACUUUCCCAACAUCCUCUCGGGGACCGUUACUAGAGCAGUGCUGAAACCCCGCUCUGUCCCUUACCCUGCCUCCAGUUGACCCGACCGUGGGCCCGUGCCAGUGUGACUUUUUGUGGUCUUCUGAUCAGUAAUCGGCUCCAGAUUCAUGUAGAGGCUAGCUGGAUUAUAGGAGGCAUGGCUAGCUGGAUUAUAGGAGGCAUGUGACCACAGCGAGGAAACAGGCAGUCUAGACUAUGGGAUUAUAACUGGCCGCUCGACAGGACAUGUCUGCCUUAGACUUCAGACUCAGACCAGACCAGACCAAAGCUGGUUUCCCCGCAUUCGGUGGUUUAUACAAUGGUCGUUACUGAAGUGCAACGUUACAACCGAGUGUUUUCUAGAACACCAGUGAGUCUCACUAGCCUGUGAAAACUUGCCCCAUAUUAAAGGUGUGCACUAUGCAGAAGUCGAUCUGCCAUUUCGUGGUUGCUAAAAUUCGAAUCGUUUUGGGCCUACUGAGCUGGCUAAGGCACUGCAGUGCUGAGUCCUGGGCCGUGACCGGGAGCCUCAUAGGACGGAGCACAAUUGGGCCCAUCGCCGUCUGGGUUAGGGGAGGGGUUGGCCGGUUUGGCCACAUUGGUGCGGAUGACUUCCAGUUUAAGCAAGCAGUGUGUUAAGAAGCAGUGUGGCUUCUCAGAAAGUGACAUAUUGCAGCUUUAAAGAGAGUGUUACCAUAACUGAUGUAUAUCCAUUUUAGUGCAACUUGGAUGCCAAAAAUGCACAAGUGGUAUACGUAGAAUAACGGUGAGCAUGUGUCUCUCUGUAACUCUGUACCUGUAUAUACAUUUGAUAACGUCUGCUAUCUGAAAUGUAUGAAAAUGUAUGUAUUCACUACUGUAAGUCGCUCUGGAUAAGAGCGUCUGCUAAAUGACGUAAAUGUAAACGUAAAUGUAAAUCUCUUUCUCUCUCUCCCUAGUCACU
ensembl:lncRNA